UAGGGAAUCUUCGGCAAUGGGGGGAACCCUGACCGAGCAACGCCGCGUGAGUGAAGAAGGUUUUCGGAUCGUAAAGCUCUGUUGUUAAGGAAGAACGAGUGUGAGAAUGGAAAGUUCAUGCUGUGACGGUACUUAACCAGAAAGGGACGGCUAACUACGUGCCAGCAGCCGCGGUAAUACGUAGGUCCCGAGCGUUGUACGGAUUUAUUGGGCGUAAAGCGAGCGCAGGCGGUUAGAAAAGUCUGAAGUGAAAGGCAGUGGCUCAACCAUUGUAGGCUUUGGAAACUGUUUAACUUGAGUGCAGAAGGGGAGAGUGGAAUUCCAUGUGUAGCUGUGAAAUGCGUAGAUAUAUGGAGGAACACCGGUGGCGAAAGCGGCUCUCUGGUCUGUAACUGACGCUGAGGCUCGAAAGCGUGGGGAGCGAACAGG
rnacentral:rRNA from 1 species